ensembl:lncRNA
UCCUCUCCUAUACAAAGUCACAGACAUCUUUUCCUGCAGGAGCUCUCUCAUCCGCCCACGAGGAUGGGACUAUGCCCCUUUGCCAUGACUAAGAGGGCUCCCGUCUCUUCAGGGACCCUUAGCCGGGAGCAGCAGCCUGGCUCUCCUAACGUCCCCACAGUCGGCCCCCAUGGAGACACGCAGAGCUCAGCCAAGGCGAGAUCGCCAGCUACAGAUGAAGGAAGAGCUGAAAAGCCAAGCUUACGGUGACCAGGUGUGAAGCUUGACGAAUCUGAUGGGUUAGCAAACUCCACUAGGAGGGUGCACCCUCCAGAGGUCAGCAACCAUCAUGUCUUCUGCAAACUCCUUGGCAUUUCGUCUGAUGUCAUCGGUCUUCAGCUUCGGGGAUGGCUGGGAGCAGCAGGUAAGAGGGGAGGUGCAGCACAGCCACCAGGAUGUCAGCAGUGGAAGCUCGGGUGGCCUCUCUUUUGGCUUUAUCAGCUCUCCUAUUCCCUAUUCCCUCAGGCUGUUUCUGAUGUCCCUUUCUGAUGCCCUGGGGCAAUGAAUCAUGGC